UGCUUAGAACUAGGCAUUUAAAGAGCCAGUGUGACUACAUUUCUUUCUUUCUUUCUUUCUUUCUUUCUUUCUUUCUUUCUUUCUUUCUUUUUUUUCAGACUCAUAGCAGAGAUGAGCAGUCAAUCUAAAGCACAGAAUCAGCAUGUCUGACCUGGUUUGUAGAUGGGCUACGCUCAGAAUGGCUUCCUGUUAGAGAAAAUAAAUGAGGCAUGAUGUUCAGAAAUGUGCAUAAAUAACUGGAAUGAUCUGUUGGAGAUCUCUUACUGGCGCACAAAAUAAACCUCAGCUACAGAAAUACCACAGUAUGAAGGACCCCCCUCCCUUUGGCGUGCUGAACACCGCAAAGAUGCUUAGGUUGCAGUGCUAACUUCCAGUGGGAUUUGAGCCCGAGGGCUGAAUGUGAAUUGACAGCUGGAGUGCUUUUGAUCAAAAUAAAGCAGAAUAAGUUAUCUGUGCACUUCUGUGCCUGAGAGCUGUGCAAAGAAACUGUGAGCCAAUUGAUUAAGAAUGGUACACUGGAUAAAAUGAAAACAAAAUGGCAUUUCUUUUGUACAACUUUAAAUACAGGACACAAAAUACUGGCUAAUGCAAUGCACCUGUUCAGCAGUUACUAAAUGAUCCGGUCCCUGAAUGUUGUGCUUUGCAAAUCUGUACUACACUCAUGUACUUCAAAUAAAGAUGUUUGGGUCUGUGUUUUAAAAGCAAGGAAAUUAAAUAACUUCUACUAAUUUUGUGGAGCACAGUUGUUUAGCUGAUAAUUUGGUUAAGUAAUCUGGAGGUGUGUCUAAGGGUUCUUAGCAGACCUAGUCUUAGUGCUAAUCAAACUGGAGUAGGCAAUGUUUAAAUCAUUUAAAUUAUAUACUGGGAAGAGAGUGAAAGGUAAUUGCAGAGAAUGUGCUAUGAAAUGUAUGACAAAAUUAAGGCUUUCCAGAAUCAAUAACUAAUACAAAUGAGUUCAAGUGUAUCAAUAAAUAAAUCGUGUCACGACAA